GAUGAAGAACGUAGCGAAAUGCGAUAAGUAAUGUGAAUUGCAGAAUUCAGUGAAUCAUCGAAUCUUUGAACGCACAUUGCGCCCCUUGGUAUUCCGGGGGGCAUGCCUGUCCGAGCGUCAUUGCUGCCCUCAAGCACGGCUUGUGUGUUGGGCCCCGUCCUCCGAUCCCGGGGGACGGGCCCGAAAGGCAGCGGCGGCACCGCGUCCGGUCCUCGAGCGUAUGGGGCUUUGUCACCCGCUCUGUAGGCCCGGCCGGCGCUUGCCGAUCAACCCAAAUUUUUAUCCAGGUUGACCUCGGAUCAGGUAGGGAUACCCGCUGAACUUAAGCAUAUCAAUAAGCGGAGGA
rnacentral:misc_RNA from 1 species